GCCAGAGUGGUGGAAUGGUAUACACGUCCGAUUCAAAAUCGGAUGCCGCGAGGCUUAGGGGUUCGAAUCCCCUCUCUGGUACCA
rnacentral:tRNA from 2 species